UAGGGAAUCUUCGGCAAUGGGGGGAACCCUGACCGAGCAACGCCGCGUGAGUGAAGAAGGUUUUCGGAUCGUAAAGCUCUGUUGUUAAGGAAGAACGAGUGUGAGAAUGGAAAGUUCAUACUGUGACGGUACUUAACCAGAAAGGGACGGCUAACUACGUGCCAGCAGCCGCGGUAAUACGUAGGUCCCGAGCGUUGUCCGGAUUUAUUGGGCGUAAAGCGAGCGCAGGCGGUUAGAUAAGUCUGAAGUUAAAGGCAGUGGCUCAACCAUUGUAGGCUUUGGAAACUGUUUAACUUGAGUGCAGAAGGGGAGAGUGGAAUUCCAUGUGUAGCGGUGAAAUGCGUAGAUAUAUGGAGGAACUCCGGUGGCGAAAGCGGCUCUCUGGUCUGUAACUGACGCUGAGGCUCGAAAGCGUGGGGAGCGAACAGG
rnacentral:rRNA from 1 species